UACGGGGGGGGGCAAGCGUUGUUCGGAAUUACUGGGCGUAAAGGGCGCGUAGGCGGCCUGCUAAGUUGGAUGUGAAAACUCUGGGCUCAACCCAGAGCCUGCAUUCAAUACUGACGGGCUAGAGUACUGGAGGGGAAAGCGGAAUUCCUGGUGUAGCGGUGAAAUGCGUAGAUAUCAGGAGGAACACCGGUGGCGAAGGCGGCUUUCUGGACAGUAACUGACGCUGAGGCGCGAAAGCUAGGGGAGCAAACAGG
rnacentral:rRNA from 1 species